AUUGCCCAGUUCUGGAUAUGAAGACAAUCAAGAAAAGAUUUGGUGUUCUUGAUUGUCUUCAUAUCUAGAACUGGGCAGU
ensembl:miRNA